rnacentral:lncRNA from 1 species
CCGCCACUCGUAUGGCUUCAAACGGUUUCGUGAGAUGAAGUUUAUAGUGUACACUUUAUCGCGCUGAUAAUAGACGAAAGCUACGUAGAAGGAUAGUAAAGUUGCUUCUCUCUUUCUCUCUCUCUCUCUCUACGUAGAAGGAACGACACGGGACAACACAAGCGCGGUUCCUUCUACGUAGCUUUCGUCUAUUGUCAGCGCGAUUGUCAGGCCCUUUGGCUCUUCUAGAGGUGAAGUUUGUUUGCAGGCGGUCGCUGCUUGCCAUCUGCUUGCACAGCGUGAGUUAGUAGCGCGGUCGAGUGUCUUCAAAGGAGCGUGAAAUUUCAUCAGAGGCAUUUCUGUGCAAUAUCCCUGUAUCUGGAACAAUCAACGCGCGGUGUCCGGAGGAAUGAUUUGCACCUGUUAUGCAUGUUUAGGAAAAUAUGUUGCCGACAUCUGUAGAGGCCAAGGCAGCUACUGUCUGAAAGGGAAAAAAAAAA